ACCCUGUGGAGCCUAGAAUUGCCCUGAACUCACUGAAACCAUCCUGCCUCAGCAUUUUGAGUGCUGGAAUUAUAGAUAUAUACCACCACACUUUGCUUUUGAUUCAGAUUUGUAGGAGAGAAUUUAAGAUAUCCCAAACCUGGUGUCUCAACCUUCGUGUGAGAAAUAUAUGUAUGAUGUUUAGGAGGUGGUGACCUUGGAGCAUGUGGUUGUGAACUUCAGCAAUGAGGAGUGGACUUUGCUGAGUGUAUCCCAAAAGAACCUCUACAGAGAUGUGAUGGGCGAAACCUUUAGGAACAUGACUGCAAUAGGAGGACUUGGGGAUAUCCAGGAAGCUGAAAAAGAAUGCAAAAUUUACUGGAGAUACUUAAGGUAAUUUGCACUCAUAAGAAGAAGGAAUGUUCCUGAGUAAUUAGUGAGUCAGCAGAAAAAUGACCGCCAAAGAAAUGAGGCACCAUUCAAUUUAUUGUCAAUAAUAUUCUCCGAAGAUGUAUAAGCUAGGGUAUGUAUAAUGAGUGAAUUAAAUCAUGAAAAUGUAUGUCAUUGCAUAUAGAUGUGUACGAAAGGCAUACACUUUGAGUUAUGACAUUCUCCCUUCAGUUUUUCUACCCAUAUAUGCAUGUGAAUACAACACAUUCAUUAUCUAAAAAUUACUAAGAUUGCAAUAGAAU